AAAUGUCGCAAAGACGGCAACACGGAAAACGGCGCGUCGGUUUGAAAGAGUAAACAAACAGUUAGCAACGCUUCGAUUAGAUUCCGAUUAAAAAUGAUGACCGCGUGAUUUACUUGAUCAGAAUGUGUUUAUGAGACUUUAUUUUACAGUGAUGUUUAUUUUAGACUCUCGUCUUCUGUAAACUGUUUCUGUUUCUUCACGGUCGGGAUUUGAAUGCAUUCUUUUAGCAUCUCUGAUCCAGUGACGCUGCGCGCAUCAGAUGAUGUCCUCCAGUGAGAGACAGAGAGAGCUGCUGCUGCAGGAGGAAGUCAGGAGUCUGAGUCAGGAGCUCGCUCAGUGUCAGGCGGAUAAGGAGUUUGUGUGGUCGCUAUGGAAACGGCUCCAGGCGGCGAAUCCGGACCUGACGCAGGCCGUGAGUUUAGUGGUGGAGCGUGAGAAACAGAAAGCGGAAGCUAAAGAUCGGAAAGUUCUGGAAAUCCUGCAAGCGAAAGAUUACAAGAUCCAGGAGCUGGAGAAGGAAGUGACGUCACAGCGACAGGAAGUGAGCGGACUCCUGCAGCAGCAUCGUGUUGGUGAAGAUGAGCGCCAUACGAUGAAGAAGGAGCUGGUAGAACUUCAGCACACACUGAGUGAUGCAACACGACGCCUACAGGAGUGUGAUGAUGGGUGGAGGAGGAGAUUGGAGGCGCAGCAGGAGCAGAGCAGGAAGCAGGAGGAGACAAAUAACACCAGACUCAAGGAGUGUGAUGAUGGGUGGAGGAGGAGGUUGGAGGAGUAUCAGGAGCAGAGCGGGAAGCAGGAGGAGGUGAACAACGCACGACUUGGGGAGGUGCAGGAGCAGUUGGUGAAGGUUCAGGCCAUCAACUCGUCUCUCUCUAUUCAGCUCAGUUCAGUUCAGCAAAAGCUCAGUGAGAGAGAACAGCAGCUCCAGCAGCUCAGGCGUGAGCUGCAGGAUCUUCAGUCUCUGUAUGUACAAAGUGUUGCUCACGCAGGAGAGCAGGCAGAACUCAUCCAGCAGCUGGAAGGUCUCAACAUGGACACACAGCAGAUCCUGCAGAGCCAGGAGAAAGUACACACCACACACACUGCCUCGUACCACAAGUUGUACAGUGAGCUAAGUGUGUCCUAUCAGGCUCUCCGUCUCAGUGAGGAGCAGCUUCGACAGAAGGACGCCUGUCUCACUGAACAGCUUUGUCAGAAGGAACAGCAGGUCUCUGAACUUCAGGUCCAACUUCAAGAGCUCCAACAGCUUGUAACAUCUAACCCACCCGCCCCCAAGCAGAAGAUUGAGCAGGAGUGUGUGGAGGCAGCAGAGAGUCAAGUGUGUGUGUCUCACCCUCCAUCAUCUGACAUUCAGAGCUGUGGAACACACACACAGCAGUGUUUCAGGUCUGUCUCUCCAAGCAGCAGUAGAGCAGCUGAGAAGAAAAUCCAACAGUUGGAGGAGUUACUCGCUCUCAAGUCGGCAGAGAACGAGGAGCUAAGGCGAGUUCAUGCAAAGCGUCACGAUCGUCUGCGUCUGAUUCAGACCAACUACAGAGCGGUGAAGGAGCAUCUGAGGGAGGUGGAGGACACACAGGGCCAACCAAAAGGCAGGACGAGGCGAGCUGAGCCAUGGGAGCUCCGUCAGGAGAACAGCGAUGCGGUUUGGAACGAGUUGGCCUUCUUUAAACGUGAGAACAAGAAGCUCCUUGCUGAGAAAGCUCAGCUGGAGGAGGAGUUGGAUGUGGCCCGUGUUCGAGUGGCCAUGGAGCGAGCUACAGCGCAGGAGCUACGGCUGCGUCUGCACGAGGAACACCAAGAGCAGCAGCUGAAUGAUGAUGAAGAUGACAGAGUGAGCAGCACACCACUACCUCCUGUACACACACUACACCACUCUGUUAGAAAGAUCGAGGUAUUGGAAAGGAAGAUGGUGUGUCUGGAGAGAGAGAUGUUGAAGUUGCGAGAGGACAAGCAGGCCCUUGAGGACGCUAACAGUUUCUUGCGUAGCGAGAGGACGGAGCUCCAGGCAGCGCUGCAGCAGGCCCGUGUGUGUGAGGAAGCGACCCAGGCUUGGGUGAGUGCUGAGCGGGACAAGCUGCUAGGCGAGGCCCGGGCUCUACAGGCCCAGCUGCAGAAAUCGAGGAGAGCAGAGACGGUGUCUCGGGCAGCAUUACUGAGGAUCAGACAGGAAGCGGGAGUACUGAGGGCCGAGAGGGACUUCCACAGGAACAAGACACGGAGAGGACGAGGACGCGGGACACACACCAUAACGCACACCAUUUCGGUGCAGCCGAGGACACGCAGCCCGGCCAAGGAUGAGUGGGAGGACAUGAGUCCAGACAGUGACAGUGAGGAUUUCUCCGACAGUCUGCAGAGUCAGCGUGCUGCUGCUUCUCCCCGCGCUGCUGCUCAGUCAGAGGCCUGCACAGCACUCCCUCACCGACACACCCUCAGAGACAACUCCACUGAUCCCAGGUCUCGCAGCACAGGAGUGUGUGAGGAUGCAGCGGUGAAGAAGAGGCGGAUGAUGAUGAACAGGAGGAGUGUGUGUGUGGUGAUGAAGGGAGCAGGAGUGUGUGAGGAUGCAGUGGUGAGGAAGAGGAGGGUGAUGAAGAGGAGACGCGUGUGUGCCGUGUUCACUCAGAGGCUCGCCUGUCUGCAGCAGCAGGUCGCAGCUCUACAGGCAGCCAGCAGGGCGGCGCACGAAGAGCGACUCAAAUACCAACACACACACUCUGAACUGCAGUCUCUGACACACACACUGCAGAAGCAGACGUGCGAGUUGGCGAUGCUGCAGCAGCAGAAGGCCGUGUUGGAGGCGGAGUUAGAGCGGUGGAGGAAGUCCCGCCCCCCUGAAGUGCAACAACAAGCGUCUGUCACUGUGUCUGCCCCCAACCCUGACCUCCCGAACAUCAAAACACUGGAGACUGAAAUCAAACAGCUUAACAACAGGCUGAAGAGCUCGAGUGCCGAGGUGAGCCGUCAGACUGCUUUGAUCAAAGGCCUCAGGACGGAGCUGCAUGACAAAGACCAACGCCUUAAGGAGCUACAGGACAAGGUGUGUCACUGUGAGAGGGAUGUGGUGAUGAAGAGACAGUUGGUGGAGGAUCUGCGCAGUCGGUUGAAGAUUCUGCAGGAUUCAGAGCAAAGCCAUCGCUCACACAUCGAUGAGCUGGAGAGAAAGGUGAAGAGUCAGUGUGAGGAAGCAUCCAACAGGAAGUCAUUUAUUGAGUCUCUGAAGAGGAGGCUGAGCGUCGCGACUGACACCAAACAGCAGUGUGAGAGCUCCAACAGCACACUCCAAGACCUGCUACGCACCAAGGAGCAAAAGCUAACAGCACUGCAGGCCCGGUUGGCGGAGUGUGAGAGGUCAAAGGUCAAGCUGGAGCAGACGGCAACAUCGCAGAUGCAGCUUCUGACCAAUCAGAGCACAGAUGCAAUACGCACACUGCAGAACAAACUCACACUGGCACAGACUCAACACCAACACCUGCGUUCAGUCACCCUGGCUUUGGCUGUAGAGGUGGACAGAGAAGUGAGGGAGACCCGAGCUGAGCUGAGAAAGAGGAGGAGAGAGAGGAAGAAGAAGGAGGGAUCAGGAAGAGGAGGAGUGUCCAAGAGCUCCAUGGUGAAAGCGCAGUCCAUCGCUGCAUCCAUCCUCAAUGUCAGUGCUAACGACCUGGCUAGCAUUCUGGACACAGACCAGGAGGAAGAGGGUGAUGAAGAAGCAGAUGGAGUUUGGAUGGAUCACAUACAGCAGCUCCUAGAGCAGCAGAUGUUCUAUGAUGUUCUGCCACGUUCACCACCUGCUAUAUCGUCGUCAUGGUCACAGCUCAGGUGUUCCAGUGGGACGGAGGGUGCCUGAGUAGUGAGGAUGAAGUGGAACAGGAAGUGUGUUUCACAUACACAGUGGUCAUUGCGUUUGAAUGGGUUGAACCCUGGUGUGUUUUUCCGCCACAGUGCGCUUCUUUGGGCAGUGUGUCUCUGCAGGUGAGUUGUUGGAUGUUCUGUUGGUGAAGAUGAAGGAGAACAGGGCGCUGAUGGAGGAGCUGGUCACUCUGAGAGAGAGACACUGAACACGACAGAGGAAAACACAUCUCUCCAUCCCUCCUUUUAUUUCACUUUCUUUUCCCUGCCUUCGCUUCUCACCUCACUCUCUUCCUCUCCCUUACUUACCCCUCUGUCCUCUUUUCUUUUCCCUGUUCAGAUGCAGGGUUUAUAUGAUUUUGUACCCACGUGAAUUAAACUAAUUUAUGGAGUAUGUUUAAA